rnacentral:rRNA from 1 species
AGUGAACGCUGGCGGUAGGCCUAACACAUGCAAGUCGAACGGCAGCACAGUAAGAGCUUGCUCUUACGGGUGGCGAGUGGCGGACGGGUGAGGAAUACAUCGGAAUCUACUUUUUCGUGAGGGAUAACGUAGGGAAACUUACGCUAAUACCGCAUACGACCUACAGGUGAAAGCAGGGGAUCUUCGGACCUUGCGCGAUUGAAUGAGCCGAUGUCGGAUUAGCUAGUUGGCGGGGUAAAGGCCCACCAAGGCGACGAUCCGUAGCUGGUCUGAGAGGAUGAUCAGCCACACUGGAACUGAGACACGGUCCAGACUCCUACGGGAGGCAGCAGUGGGGAAUAUUGGACAAUGGGCGCAAGCCUGAUCCAGCCAUACCGCGUGGGUGAAGAAGGCCUUCGGGUUGUAAAGCCCUUUUGUUGGGAAAGAAAAGCAGCAGGUUAAUACCCCGCUAUUCUGACGGUACCCAAAGAAUAAGCACCGGCUAACUUCGUG